rnacentral:rRNA from 2 species
UACCUGCGGAGGGAUCAUUACCGAGUUUACAACUCCCAAACCCCUGUGAACAUACCACUUGUUGCCUCGGCGGAUCAGCCCGCUCCCGGUAAAACGGGACGGCCCGCCAGAGGACCCCUAAACUCUGUUUCUAUAUGUAACUUCUGAGUAAAACCAUAAAUAAAUCAAAACUUUCAACAACGGAUCUCUUGGUUCUGGCAUCGAUGAAGAACGCAGCAAAAUGCGAUAAGUAAUGUGAAUUGCAGAAUUCAGUGAAUCAUCGAAUCUUUGAACGCACAUUGCGCCCGCCAGUAUUCUGGCGGGCAUGCCUGUUCGAGCGUCAUUUCAACCCUCAAGCACAGCUUGGUGUUGGGACUCGCGUUAAUUCGCGUUCCUCAAAUUGAUUGGCGGUCACGUCGAGCUUCCAUAGCGUAGUAGUAAAACCCUCGUUACUGGUAAUCGUCGCGGCCACGCCGUUAAACCCCAACUUCUGAAUGUUGACCUCGGAUCAGGUAGGAAUACCCGCUGAACUUAAGCAUAUCAAUAAGCCGGAGGAA